rnacentral:rRNA from 1 species
UGCCAGCCGCCGCGGUAAUACGGAGGGUGCGAGCAUUAAUCGGAUUUAUUGGGCGUAAAGUGCGUGCAGACGGAGAUGCAAGUCUGAUGUGAAAUCCCGGAGCUCAACUCCGGAACUGCAUUGGAAACUACAUCCCUAGAGGAUAGAUGGAGAAGGCGGAAUUCCACGUGUAGCGGUGAAAUGCGUAGAUAUGUGGAAGAACACCUGUGGCGUAAGCGGCCUUCUAAUUUAUUCCUGACGUUAAAGCGCGAAAGCGUGGGGAGCAAACUGGAUUAGAUA